rnacentral:tRNA from 1 species
GCGCUCGUAGCUCAGCCGGAUAGAGCAGCCGCCUUCUAAGCGGCAGGUCGUGGGUUCGAGACCCGCCGGGCGCA